AAUAUGCAAAUUACUUGAGUCUAUGGUGGUAAAUACAAGGAUUCUCCACCCCCAAGUCAUCAUCUGGUCAGUGUCCUCUCCACAGUCAGAGAACACACCAUCUCUAAGGAUGGAAUGGAGCUGGAUCAUCCUCUUCCUCCUGUCAGUAACUACAGGUGUCCACUCUCAGGUACAGCUGCAGCAGUCUGAGGCAGAGCUCAGGAGACCUGGGUCCUCAGUGAAGUUGUCCUGCAAGGCUUCAGGCUACACCUUCACCAGCUAUCUUAUGAGCUGGGUAAAUCAGAGGCCAGGACAGGGGCUGGAGUGGAUUGGAUGGAUUAAUCCUUCAAAUGGUGGUAUUGACUACAAUCAGAAGUUCAAGGGCAAGGCUACCCUGACUGUAGACAAAUCCUCCAGCACAGCCUACAUGGAGCUCAGAAGCCUGACAUCUGAGGACUCUGCGGUCUAUUACUGUGCAAGACACAGUGUUGCAACCACAUCCUGA